AAGCAAGUUGGAAACAAGAAGGCAGGCCAUGACCCAGGUGACCUCAUGUCACUCCUAAACUCAUGACUUGAGUUCCUGCUACCAACAAAUCCGUACUUUGAUCACACACCCACAGCGACCCAGAUCUUUGAAUUCAGCAAUUCUUUCUCAGGUUUCAGCAAGGCAUUGGCAGCCUGAGCUAUUUUGGGACACUUUCUCUGCUGUGGAUGCCACUUUCGGAAUACGCCAGGAACAUGCUGAGGACCUGGAGCUCUCUAUCCUGGACCCGUUUCCUGGUCUGCCUGCUCUCUCUCUCUCUCUCUCUCUGGGCUAAUCACUUGGAAGACAGUUGCUCCUGCCAACCUAAUCCCAGGGGCCUGACUACCUUGCCGGGUCACAGGCUCAAAGACGCAAUGUGGCUGCCAGCACCCUCAUGGUAAGGGGCAUAGAGGCACCAGGCAGCCUUGGCAGGAUGAGAGGCCUCCUGGGGGUGGUCUGACUUUGGAUGUAGGCUGAGAAGACAAAGUGGGGAAGGGCUGGAGGUAGGAAGGCAAGAUUUUCCAAACAUCUUCUUCCUACGAUCAUCACUUCCUAAUCUGAUGCAACUGGCUCGGCAGGCAUUCAAGAGCCUGUGAGCUCCAUUUUCCUGUUCUAAAAUCUUCUGCACCUCAUCAUUGAGUUUUCACUUCAACCUAAUCAACUUGGGACUCUUUUUAAAAUACACGGAAUGAAAAAGGAAGAUGAUGAUCACCCUGGUGCAAAGACCAUCCCCCCAAGCCCCAAGUACAAUCCUUGCUCCUCUGCUAUUACCCUAGGGCACUCGCCUGAAACCUCCGUUGAAUGAAAAGGGGUGACACACCAAAAGCCCUUCAUCAACCCAGCAUCUAACUGCAGAAGAUAACUGCCUCUCCCCAAAACACUGAAAAUCAGAAGUAUGGUAAAUGAAGGCAUCAGACGAAAGCUCCCUUCUUCAGCACAGAUGGUGAAACAGAGGUUCAGAGAGGUUCAGCUUCGAAAUCAGGAGACCAGGAUUCAAAGUCAAGUUCAGCCAGCUCCACAGGUAAGCUCACUUGGAAACCUGCCUUUCGGCUAGUCUUGCUAUGGAAGGACAGAGGUGUAUAUUUACCACCCCUCCCCCAUGCUCCAUUCCACAAGACCACUAGGAACAGAACACAGGGCUUUGAUGGGGGAAAAUACUCCCCCAAAUACAAACUUGCUUUAAAACGGCAAAAAGAGACCCAAGUCUUUAGUGUUUCUGAGCCAGAGCUGUGUAAACAGGACACAGAGCUAGCGCACUAUCCAGCAAAGAGUGAAGGUUAAGAGCCCAACAGCAGAAUAUGGCUGCCUGGAUUGUAACUCUGGCUCUGUCCCAUGCUAACCUGCCCGAUUCUGGGGAAGUGACUUAACCUCCCUAUGCCUCUGUGAUCUCAUCUGUCCCAUGGCAUUAAUAACAGCACCUUCUUACAGGGUUG